AGUGAACGCUGGCGGUAGGCCUAACACAUGCAAGUCGAACGGCAGCACAGUAAGAGCUUGCUCUUACGGGUGGCGAGUGGCGGACGGGUGAGGAAUACAUCGGAAUCUACUUUUUCGUGGGGGAUAACGUAGGGAAACUUACGCUAAUACCGCAUACGACCUACGGGUGAAAGCAGGGGAUCUUCGGACCUUGCGCGAUUGAAUGAGCCGAUGUCGGAUUAGCUAGUUGGCGGGGUAAAGGCCCACCAAGGCGACGAUCCGUAGCUGGUCUGAGAGGAUGAUCAGCCACACUGGAACUGAGACACGGUCCAGACUCCUACGGGAGGCAGCAGUGGGGAAUAUUGGACAAUGGGCGCAAGCCUGAUCCAGCCAUACCGCGUGGGUGAAGAAGGCCUUCGGGUUGUAAAGCCCUUUUGUUGGGAAAGAAAAGCAGCAGGUUAAUACCCCGCUACUCUGACGGUACCCAAAGAAUAAGCACCGGCUAACUUCGUG
rnacentral:rRNA from 1 species